ACACAGGUGCUGCAUGGCUGUCGUCAGCUCGUGUCUUGAGAUGUUGGGUUAAGUCCCGUAACGAGCGCAACCCUUGUCCUUAGUUACCAGCACGUUAUGGUGGGCACUCUAAGGAGACUGCCGGUGACAAACCGGAGGAAGGUGGGGAUGACGUCAAGUCAUCAUGGCCCUUACGAGUAGGGCUACACACGUGCUACAAUGGCGGUGACAGAGG
rnacentral:rRNA from 1 species